UACAGAGGUCUCAAGCGUUGUUCGGAUUCAUUGGGCGUAAAGGGUGCGUAGGCGGCGCGGUAAGUCGGGUGUGAAAUCUCGGAGCUUAACUCCGAAACUGCAUUCGAUACUGCCGUGCUUGAGGACUGGAGAGGAGACUGGAAUUUACGGUGUAGCAGUGAAAUGCGUAGAUAUCGUAAGGAAGACCAGUGGCGAAGGCGGGUCUCUGGACAGUUCCUGACGCUGAGGCACGAAGGCCAGGGGGAGCAAAACGGGG
rnacentral:rRNA from 1 species